rnacentral:rRNA from 1 species
UCCGUAGGUGAACCUGCGGAAGGAUCAUUUAUGCAUUGAAACUGCCCUCUUUUGAGGGAACUGCUUCUAGUGAUUUUCACUUGAAGUGGGACCCCGGCCCUCUUUGGUAAUUGGAAACUUUUUCCAUCUGAGCCACCGGGUUUCAUUCAUUUUCUUUCACUGUGCACACACUUCUUUCACACAUUUUAACACAAUAGUAUAAGAAUGUAACAGUCUCUUUAUUGAGCAUAAAUAAAAAUAAAACUUUCAGCAACGGAUCUCUUGGCUCUCGCAUCGAUGAAGAACGCAGCGAAUUGCGAUAAGUAAUGUGAAUUGCAGAAUUCAGUGAAUCAUCGAAUCUUUGAACGCACCUUGCACUCUUUGGUAUUCCGAAGAGUAUGUCUGUUUGAGUAUCAUGAGGAAGGCAACCCCCUUGUUUUGUAAUGAGACAAGAGUGGGCUUGGUUUUUGGCUUUUGUCGGCGUAAUCGCCGGCUCAGCUGAAAUACACGAGCAACCCAUUUGAAAUAAACGGCUUGACUCGGCGUAAUAAUUUUUUCGCUGAGGACGUUUUCUUCAAAAGUUUGUGGUGCUUCUAGUGCGCUUUUGUAGCAACUCAAUUUUGAUCUCAAAUCAGUCAGGACUACCCGCUGAACUUUAGCAUAUCAAUAAGCGGAGGAAAAG